rnacentral:lncRNA from 1 species
AUUUAUUCAUUUACUUAACAAAGAGUUAACACAUGCUUAUCUUGUGGCUGCAACAUAGUAACCUGGAGAUUGUCAGUGGGGCCUGGGACAAAGGGACCAGAGACGAAGUCUCACUCUGUCACCCAGGCUGCAGUGCAGUGGCACGAUCUCGGCUCACUACAACCUCCACCUCCCAGGUUUAAGCGAUUCUCCUGCCUCACCCUCCUGAGUAGCUGGGAUUACAGAGUGAAGCCAAAGGCACAGGAAGCACAGCUGGAAUGGGGACAUAGGAACGCGGGGGCUCCCAUGAGUUGACCGGACAACUGAGAGAUGGCAACCUAGACCUGGGGGACAAAAUAUGCUAUGUUUUCGUGAAUCCAUGAUUCGACCUGAAGAAGAAGGAAAGAACUGGACAUCCAGAUGAGUACAUUGAUAUCGAAGAAAAAAAGAGGAGGGAGCACACAGGUGAGCAGGUGCAGGAACCAGCCGGACAAUUUGCCGCCAGCAGGAAUGAACUCCAAGCAGGCCCCACUGCAGUAUCCAGGUCGGGGUGCCUGUGACUUCUGAAGCCACAGAGGCAUUCUUUUGCUACUUACAUGGUGGAACUCCUUGAACAGAAUAACAGACCAUAGUGCCUGCCUGGAAUUCAGACUGGAAAAGAUUGAAAUAUCUGUGUAGUUCAUAUAUCUGAAACACUGACUUCAUCUCACUCAUGAGAAUUCAACAGUUAUGCUAAAGAUUGUGUUAUGGGAGCUCCUAGAG